rnacentral:rRNA from 1 species
UACGGGGGGAGCAAGCGUUGUUCGGAAUUACUGGGCGUAAAGGGCGCGUAGGCGGUCAGGUAAGUGAGAUGUGAAAUCCUCCGGCUCACCCGGAGACAUGCAUCUCAUACUGCUUGACUAGAGUACGGAAGAGGAAUCGGGAAUUCCAGGUGUAGCGGUGAAAUGCGUAGAUAUCUGGAGGAACACCGGUGGCGAAGGCGCGAUUCUGGUCCGUUACUGACGCUGAGGCGCGAAAGCGUGGGGAGCGAACAGG